GAUAUAAAGGAUGAAGUUGUAGGGCAGGAAGUCUUAUGUAACUUGGAGCAGCUACUCAAUGGAAAUCACAAACAGAAUGAGUUUCAUCCACAUGUCAAGACACUACUACCAACAGAGCUAUUUCAGGACACCUACCUAAAUAACUAGCUGUCUCUUCCACUUAAAGCAAGAUGUCAAGUUGAAAGGAUGAACUGGAAUCUUUGAUGAUCAAACUGAUGGAACAGAUGAUCAGUUCUCAUCCUCCAAAGUUGUGACUGUAGAUGGUGUAGGAGACUGAGCUGAAAAUGUAUUGCACCCAGUAGUUUAAAUUCUGAGCUCUUGAGAGAAGAGACUGGGUGCAUUUUGUUCAAUCUUCUAUCCUGGAUGCCUACUAGAUAUCUAGCAUG
rnacentral:lncRNA from 10 species